rnacentral:rRNA from 1 species
GAUGAACGCUAGCUACAGGCUUAACACAUGCAAGUCGAGGGGUAACGAGAGGGAAGCUUGCUUUCCUUGUCGACGACCGGCGCACGGGUGAGUAACGCGUAUCCAACCUGCCCCCAACUAGGGAAUAACCUUGCGAAAGUAAGACUAAUACCCUAUAAUUUCCUCAGAUGUCAUCUGACGAGGAAUAAAGAUUUAUCGGUUGUGGUUGGGGAUGCGUCUGAUUAGCUUGUUGGCGGGGUUACGGCCCACCAAGGCAACGAUCAGUAGGGGUUCUGAGAGGAAGGUCCCCCACAUUGGAACUGAGACACGGUCCAAACGCCUACGGGAGGCAGCAGUGAGGAAUAUUGGUCAAUGGGCGGAAGCCUGAACCAGCCAAGUAGCGUGCAGGAUGACGGCCCUAUGGGUUGUAAACUGCUUUUAUACAGGAAUAAAGUUAGCCACGUGUGGUUAUUUGUAGGUACUGUAUGAAUAAGGACCGGCUAAUUCCGUGCCAGCCGCCGCCGUAA